rnacentral:piRNA from 1 species
CACCAGUGUCCAAGCAGGGCAGACCUGGC